rnacentral:misc_RNA from 1 species
AACAAUCUUUCGUUCAAACAAUAUCGGAUUGAGAGAAUAACCACAUUAGACCAAAUCCAAAGCAAAAAGACUAAACCGAAAAGCUGUUUUGGAAAAAUAAGAACCUAUACAGUGGGGUUUUCUUGAAACCUUCAAUACCUGUGCUCUAAGCUGAGGUUUACAUCAAAUUAUGAUUUCAUUCUUGUGCCAAAGCCAUUUCCACAAUUUCCUAGCAAUAACUGUCUCCCAAACACAACUUCCAUGUGUACACAAAACAAAACCUCAAGAAAACAAACAAUGAAGAAGAAAACAAACGGACAGACCGAACAUAUUGGAAAAAGAAAAACCACAGAACAGAGUGUAGCAUAAUAUGGCAGGCACAGGCUCUCACAAGUGAAACUAUAGAGAAGUGGCAUAAUUGAUGGAUUAAU